rnacentral:tRNA from 1 species
GCCGGAUUUUCACAUAGGCAUAUUUUUUACAAGCAUAAAUACAUAUUAAAAUCAAUAACUUAUAAAAAGCCAUAACCGGACUCAAAAUCCGGCGGGAGCAAUCCCAUGGGGGUUCGAUUUCCCCCUUCGGCACCA